CAUGUUGACCCUUCUACAAUCCGAAGAAGCUUGAUCAGGAAUGGUCUUCAUGGAAGGGCAGCAGCCAAGAAACCACUUUUGCAGAAGGGGAACAUGGUGAAAAGGCUUACAUAUGCUAAAGCUCACAAAGAUUGGAAUGAGGAUCAGUGGAAAAGAGUAUUAUGGAGUGAUGAAUCCAAGUUUGAAAUUUUUGGGUCCAAUCGUCAACAAUAUGUGAACAGAAGAGUUGGAGAGAGAUGGACAAAUGAGUGCUUGCAGCCUUCAGUGAAACAUGGUGGAGGGUCUGUCCUGGUUUGGGGCUGCAUUUCUGCCAGUGGUGUUGACGAUAUUGUCCGUAUUUAUUUAUUUAUUUUCUAUCCCGCCUUUAUUAUUUUUAUAAAUGACUCGAGACGGCGAACAUACCUAAUACUCCAAUGCUGAAAAGUACAGAUAGGCUUUAAUUCAUCAUGCCAUUCCUUCUGGAAAGCGCCUGAUUCGGAAUGGUUUCAUUUUUCAGCAUGGUAACGAUCCCAAGCACACUGCUAAUGCAGUGAAAUCAUAUUUAGCGAGAAAAGCAGCUGAUAAAACACUGACAGUCACGGACUGGCCUCCAUGGAGUCCAGACCUGAAUAUUAUGGAGGCAGUAUGGGAUCACCUGGACAGAGAAAGAAAUAAAAGACAACCUACAUCUAAAGAAGAACUCUGGGAAGUGCUGAAAGAAGCCUGGUAUAAUAUACCAGAAGAUUACUUCAGAAAACUUCAGGACAGUCUCCCCAAAAGAGUUCAAGAUGUGCUUAGAGCCAAGGGAAGUCACACUAAAUACUGACUUUUGCCUGAAGAAGCCUUUUUAGAUCGAAAAAUAAUUAUGGAUGGUCAUUAAAAC